GAGUUUGAUCCUGGCUCAGAUUGAACGCUGGCGGCAUGCCUUACACAUGCAAGUCGAACGGCAGCACGGGAGCUUGCUCCUGGUGGCGAGUGGCGAACGGGUGAGUAAUGCAUCGGAACGUAUCCUGGAGUGGGGGAUAACGUAGCGAAAGUUACGCUAAUACCGCAUAUUCUGUGAGCAGGAAAGCGGGGGACCUUCGGGCCUCGCGCUCUUGGAGCGGCCGAUGUCGGAUUAGCUAGUUGGUGAGGUAAAGGCUCACCAAGGCGACGAUCCGUAGCAGGUCUGAGAGGAUGAUCUGCCACACUGGAACUGAGACACGGUCCAGACUCCUACGGGAGGCAGCAGUGGGGAAUUUUGGACAAUGGGGGCAACCCUGAUCCAGCCAUGCCGCGUGAGUGGAGAAGGCCUCGGUU
rnacentral:rRNA from 1 species